rnacentral:rRNA from 1 species
GAGUUUGAUCCUGGCUCAGGAUGAACGCUGGCGGCGUGCCUAACACAUGCAAGUCGAGCGAUUUACUUCGGUAAAGAGCGGCGGACGGGUGAGUAACGCGUGGGUAACCUGCCUCAUACACAUGGAUAACAUACCGAAAGGUAUGCUAAUACAGGAUAAUAUAAGAGAUUCACAUGGAUUUCUUAUCAAAGCUCCGGCGGUAUGAGAUGGACCCGCGUCUGAUUAGCUAGUUGGUAAGGUAAUGGCCUACCAAGGCGACGAUCAGUAGCCGACCUGAGAGGGUGAUCGGCCACAUUGGAACUGAGACACGGUCCAAACUCCUACGGGAGGCAGCAGUGGGGAAUAUUGCACAAUGGGCGAAAGCCUGAUGCAGCAACGCCGCGUGAGUGAUGAAGGCCUUCGGGUCGUAAAACUCUGUCCUCAAGGAAGAUAAUGACGGUACUUGAGGAGGAAGCCCCGGCUAACUACGUGCCAGCAGCCGCGGUAAUAC